rnacentral:lncRNA from 1 species
UUCCCCUCUCUCUCUCACUAUUCUCUCUCUCUCUAGGAAAGAAAGGAAAGAAGGAGAAGAAGAAAGAGAAGAAAGAAAAGAAGGAAAAGAGGAAGAAGUAGAAGGAGAAGUCCAAGAAGAAGAAGAAGAAGGUCUUCUUCUCUCUCUCCUUCAACCUAGGACAAGCUUGAAGCUUGGGUUAGAGGUAAGCUCCAAACCCUUUGAUGGUAAUUCUAGGGUUUUGGAUUUUUAAGGUUUAGAAUUGGUUCAAAUGGAACCUGUUAGGGAUAAAUAGAAGGUUCGAGCUCGAAAUCGAAG